rnacentral:lncRNA from 1 species
CAAAGUAAAUAAAUCAGUUUUUGAGCAUGUUCAUGCAUCACGAAUGCCAUGAGAUAUAUUAGGUUGUUUGCAUUAGAAUUCACGAAUAUGUUGCAUUGCAUAAUAUGAUGAUGAUGUGGAUGGGUAUUGGAUGAUCCUUUAGUCCUCGUAUGAUAUGAUAUGAUGAUGAUAUGGUAUGGUAUGAUAUGGAAGUCCAGGUGUGGCCUGCACUACGCCCCUGGCAUAAUGUAAGAGAAAGUCCGGGUGUGGCCUGCACUACGCCCCCGGCACGAUUGGAUAUGUAUGAUAUGUCAUGUGUAAAGGAAAGACCAGGUGUGGCCUGCACUACGCCCCUGGCAU